CUAUAAAGCAAUUAAAUAAAUCAAUGCAGAGUAAUUAAAUAAAUCAAUGCAGAUCAAUUAAAUAAGUGCCGUAUCUGAAAUAAUGAACAAGCCAUAAACUAAAGGUACAGUUCUGAUCAAGCCCAGAAAAAUAUAAGUUAAUAACAAGAAAUUAGCCUUAUUAACCAAAGAUGGAAGUUCAGAAGAAAUAGAAUAAAAGUCUGCAUAUAUAUCAGCAGGUAGGAAUAUUCACAAAGAUCACAAUAAAAGUCUGCAUAUAUAUCAAAGCUGCAAUUGAACUGAGAGAUACCACUUCAAAGUGAUUUCAAAUUCAGAAGCAAUAAUAUUCAUAAAAGAGAAAAGUACACUCAUGCCACUUAAAACAAAUUGCUGUCAAUCAGAAAUUCAAUAUUCUUCCUUUAAUCUUCUUUUGAAUGAUUUUCAAUGGUUAUAGCCUCCUC